rnacentral:rRNA from 1 species
AUUGAACGCUGGCGGCAGGCCUAACACAUGCAAGUCGAACGGUAACAGGAAGCAGCUUGCUGCUUUGCUGACGAGUGGCGGACGGGUGAGUAAUGUCUGGGAAACUGCCUGAUGGAGGGGGAUAACUACUGGAAACGGUAGCUAAUACCGCAUAACGUCGCAAGACCAAAGAGGGGGGACCUUCGGGCCUCUUGCCAUCGGAUGUGCCCAGAUGGGAUUAGCUAGUAGGUGGGGUAACGGCUCACCUAGGCGACGAUCCCUAGCUGGUCUGAGAGGAUGACCAGCCACACUGGAACUGAGACACGGUCCAGACUCCUACGGGAGGCAGCAGUGGGGAAUCUUCCGCAAUGGGCGAAAGCCUGACGGAGCAACGCCGCGUGAGUGAUGACGGCCUCGGUUGUAAGCGUCUGUGAUCGGGGACGAACGGUCCGUAAGGCCAAUA